GUGAGGCGGAGGAGUUGGAGGUGAUGGGAGAAGUCAGAGUGAGCUGCUUUCAGAGGGCCUGAGCAGGGGGAAUAUACGUUUUAGCAGAGGGGAGCAGGAUGGCGAGAAACCAGAAACAAAAAGACCCCAAAGAUGUCCCCACAGGAUUGAGAUAAAGUCAAAGAUCGGUUUGUGGGGGCGGCGACAGGGCACAGGCAGGAUUUGGAAGAUUGAGGCCUAAUGCUUUCCUUAUGUGGCCUUCCUAUUCAGUUAGCUCAGAUCACCGUCUGAUUGCCCCACCUGUGCUCUCCUUGGCAUCUCCCACUCACCUCACGCUUCUGACAUGGGUGCUGCCUGCUCAUUGCCAGCACAGAGAGAGGAGAAACAACUUCAUCCUGGCCUUCUACCCAGCCUGAAGCUGCAUGUGGCAUGAGGGUCCGUGUCCUAGCCCUUGACUGCUCCCAUGAGAAAAGAGAUGCAAAAUCAUAUUAAAUCAUCAUGUUA
rnacentral:lncRNA from 1 species